UACUAGAGUAGCACUCGCAUAUCAAUAAGCGGAGGAAAAGAAACUAACAAGGAUUCCCCUAGCUAACGGCGAGUGAAGCGGGAAGAGCUCAAAUUUGAAAUCUUAAAGGGUUUCCCUUUACGAAUUGUAGUUUAAAGAAGUGUUUUCUGUUGAGGUUUUGGUAAAAGUUCUUUGGAAUAGGACAUCAUAGAGGGUGAGAAUCCCGUAUUUGACCUUUACUUUCAACUUUGUGAUACACUUUCAAAGAGUCGGAUUGUUUGGGAAUGCAGUCCAAAAUGGGUGGUAAAUUUCAUCUAAAGCUAAAUAUUGGCGAGAGACCGAUAUCGAACAAGUACCGUGAGGGAAAGAUGAAAAGAACUUUGAAAAGAGAGUUAAACAGUACGUGAAAUUGUCAAAAGGGAAGCGUUUGACACCAGUGUUGUUUUUCUGAAAAUCAAUUAAAGAACUGUUUAUGCUAAGUUGUUUAGACUUUAUCAGCUAACUGUUUAGUUUUGAGCUUUUCUCUAAUGCACUUUUCAGUUAACAAGUCAACAUCAAUUUCUUUUGCUGUAAAAAAGCUUGAGGAAGGUGGCUUGAGAUUCGUCUUAAGUGUCUAUAGCCUCUUGCCUAUGCAGUCGGAGAGAUUGAGGUCUGCAGCGUAGGAUCCUUCGGGGCUAAAUGCAUUUGUGCUAAGUUAUAGCAUUUUAUAGACAACUUGUUGACUAUGAUUUGUCUUGUAGCUUACUCGCUUAUGUUAUUUUACCUACGCUUAGGAUGUUGAUAUCGCGCUCUCACUG
rnacentral:rRNA from 1 species